AACAAGGCGUACCUGCGGACCUGCGGAGGGAUCAUUACCGAGUUUACAAACUCCCAACCCUUUGUGAACCUUACCAUAUUGUUGCUUCGGCGGGACCGCCCCGGCGCCUUCGGGCCCGGAACCAGGCGCCCGCCGGAGGCCCCAAACUCUUAUGUCUUUAGUGGUUUUCUCCUCUGAGUGACACAUAAACAAAUAAAUAAAAACUUUCAACAAUGGAUCU
rnacentral:misc_RNA from 1 species